GAUGAACGCUGGCGGCGUGCCUAAUACAUGCAAGUCGAGCGAACGGACGAGAAGCUUGCUUCUCUGAUGUUAGCGGCGGACGGGUGAGUAACACGUGGAUAACCUACCUAUAAGACUGGGAUAACUUCGGGAAACCGGAGCUAAUACCGGAUAAUAUUUUGAACCGCAUGGUUCAAAAGUGAAAGACGGUCUUGCUGUCACUUAUAGAUGGAUCCGCGCUGCAUUAGCUAGUUGGUAAGGUAACGGCUUACCAAGGCAACGAUGCAUAGCCGACCUGAGAGGGUGAUCGGCCACACUGGACCUGAGCCACGGUCCAGACUCCUACGGGAGGCAGCAGUAGGGAAUCUUCCGCAAUGGGCGAAAGCCUGACGGAGCAACGCCGCGUGAGUGAUGAGGGUCUUCGGAUCGUAAAACUCUGUUAUUAGGGAAGAACAUAUGUGUAAGUAACUGUGCACAUCUUGACGGUACCUAAUCAGAAAGCCACGGCUAACUACGUG
rnacentral:rRNA from 1 species